GAUCUUGCCGUCUUCGGAUCGGUGAUCACUCACUUGAUCGUGCGUCUCGCUACGUCUUUUGUUUAUCCUCUCAGGAACUUUUGUUUAUGUACAUUAUCCAUUUAAGCCCAGAAGCCCUGCGGUGUGAAACCCGUUACUUUGAAGCUUUUAUUUAACCAAUAAGACGGCAACUUGGAAAUUAUUAAUUAUAUAAUAUCACAGAAGUGUUUCUAACGAUUUUCACGUUUUUAGAAAAAUGUUCUAUAGACUAGGAGUUUUCGUACUGCGAUUCAUUACAACAAAUCAUGUGUUCAAAUUAGUUCAAUAUUUAAGGAACGGAUUAGCAAGUGAUAAAAUGUUACAUGAUACAAAGUGAUUGAUCCUUUCAGUUCCACCCCUAAGUACUAAACUGAGUUAGAAUAAUACUUUCCCAGUUAAACUAAAUUAAAUUUUAUUGUGAUUGUUCACGGACAUUAAAAGAUAAAAUAUCAGAAGCGUUGGAAACGGAUAUAAUUAAAUACAUAAGAAAAGGGUGGACUAUGCUAUGAUCAGUAUGGAGUUGCAGCCAUCAGUGCACGUUCAGCACUUGAAUCAUAGUUAUGGAUUGGCGGCGCUACCAUCUCACCAUCAUCGCGAUAGCUUAAUUGUAGCACAUCAUCACCAGCACCAAAUGCCUCCAAUAUCAGAUGAAAAACCAAAAGCCUACAGAAUGGAGGGGCAUAACAUCAUGUCUAGCGAAUGGAUUGAUAUAAAUGGAGCAAUGGAGCGACCACCACAUUCUGCAGACGAUUCUCGUAGUUCACAAGGCAGCAUUUCAGGAGACGGUCAUGGUGGUGUUAAUCAAUUGGGUGGCGUUUUUGUAAACGGUCGACCAUUGCCCGACGUUGUACGGCAACAAAUCGUACAAUUAGCCCAUAACGGUGUUCGUCCAUGUGAUAUUUCUAGGCAGUUACGGGUCAGUCAUGGUUGUGUAUCAAAAAUUUUAUCAAGGUAUUAUGAGACUGGAAGCUUUAAGGCCGGUGUAAUAGGAGGCUCAAAACCAAAAGUGGCAACACCCCCUGUAGUCGAUGCAAUAGCCAAUUACAAACGGGAGAAUCCCACAAUGUUUGCUUGGGAAAUUCGUGAUAGGCUUCUAGCUGAAGGUAUCUGCUCCCAGGAUAAUGUACCUAGCGUUUCAUCAAUCAAUCGAAUUGUAAGAAAUAAAGCUGCCGAAAAGGCAAAGCAUGUACAUCAUCAACAACAGCAGCAAAACUCAUCAGCUACUAGUAGCGCUAGUGAUGUAGGAGGAAGAAAUAAUAAUGCCGGGCCCAGCAGUAACAGUGGAAGCGGAGUUAUAGCACACGCUUCAACUGUAGGGCAGCAGCAGCAAGCUCAGCAACAAAAUCCUCAACAGCAGAAUCAGUUGACAUCAGCCAGUGGAUCAAAUCCUAGCGGAGCAGUUGGUUCUGGUAGUGGUGGAGGGGCAGGAAAUAGCGAUGGUGGCGGAGGAAAUGCAGUACCUGGGGAACAUCGAACUGCCGGUUAUAGUAUAAAUGGUAUAUUAGGCAUACAACACACCGACCCUAAUGGGAAUAGCAUCAAAAGAAAACGAAUUGAGGAUCAUGAUGAAAACCGCGACAUCAACAUUCAUCCUGAUACUGAAAUCAAACGACAACGUAUACAUUAUAGCGGUGAUCAACUUUAUUCAAACCUGUGGUCUGGAAAAUGGUGCAUAAAAGACGAACAUAAAUUACUUUCUGAACUUGGCACUGUAACAUCAAAUGGCGGAGCUCCUUAUUAUGACGGUCAUAAUGGUUUUCCAUCCUCUACUGGUACUGAGUCGAUUUUAUAUGACAGCAUAACAACUAUAUCACAAACUCAAAAUUCACUGUAUACGCAACCAAUAGGAACAUCGAUUGGAGGUUCGCUUACUCCUUUAGCCCCGAUAAGUAUGCAAGAAAUCAAACUUGGAACGGGAAUCUUAGAUCAAUCAUUAUCACCAUAUCAUACAACAGAAAAUGGUCAUACAUAUGGGAGUCUAACUAAUCUAGGAACGGUAGUUAGCCCUCACGAUGAAUCAGGAUCGUCACCAGGACUACCCAUUACUCUCGUGAGCGAUGCAAUUCCACAACAGCAAUCCCAACAACAAACAACGAACUCUACCACAACUGCUACUCCAAAUUCGAGCAAUGAAUGCCCAACGACAGUGACAUCACAACAUCAACAGCACGACAAUGUUACAAUAUCAAUAGCCGUGGCGAGCUCACAGCAGCAGCAACCACAUAGUCAUACAUCGAAUCAUAGUAGUAAUUUAAAUAUAAAUAGCAGCAGUAAUAACACUGCAUCCAACAGUACCAACAAUCCGAGCACUAGCAGUGCAACUAACCUAUCACCUGCUGAUCAGUCAUCGUUAAUUGUACUACAACCAAGCGGUGGUCCAAGUGGUUAUUCAUCUAUGUUACCAAGUUUCAGUCAUUACUCAGCAGGCAAGUCCCAUAGCAGCAUUGGGAAACGGAUCAGUUGUCCCAGGAUCUGAUUAUGCAUACAGUCCAGCAUAUUCCCAAUAUGGAGGAGCAUACGGGUCAUACGGAUAUUGUGCAACUAGUGGACUCCUCAAUUCAACCUAUUACUACGAUGGCGGACAAAAUCAAACGACCACUAUCAGUCAGGAUAUUCGGUCACCGCUAGCUGCAACUAGAGCAAAUUCUUUAGCUAGCGCUUCUUCGCCGACGGGCAGUGCAUGUACAAAAACGGAAGC
rnacentral:misc_RNA from 1 species